AUUGAACGCUGGCGGCAGGCCUAACACAUGCACGUCGAGCGGAGCGGCGGACGGGUGAGUAAUGCCUAGGAAUCUGCCUGGUAGUGGGGGAUAACGUCCGGCAACGGGAGCUAAUACCGCAUACUAUCAGAUGAGCCUAGGUCGGAUUGGCUAGUUGGUGGGGUAAAGGCCUACCGAGGCGACGAUCGGUAACUGGUCUGAGAGGAUGAUCAGUAACACUGGAACUGAGACACGGCCCAGACUCCUACGGGAGGAAGAAUGGGGGAAUAUUGGACAAUGGGCGAAAGCCUGAUCCAGCCAUGCCGCGUGUGUGAAGAAGGUCUUCGGAUUUUAAAGCACUUUAAGUUGGGAGGCGGUACCAACAGAAUAAGCACCGGCUAACUACGUGCCAGCAGCCGCGGUAAUAC
rnacentral:rRNA from 1 species